rnacentral:lncRNA from 1 species
UGAGCAUCAGGGAUGUGAGGGGAGUGGGUGACUCCUGGGAAGGUCUCGUGCAGGGAGUAGGAUUUGCUUAGGUCCUUGAAGGGCAAGUCAAUUUCACAGUGGCUGACAGUCCAGGCACAGAUAAAUGCAAUGAGCACUGGCAUGGAGGCUGGCAGGGACAAGACCCUGGACUUGGAAUGUAUCAUCUCUUAAGGAUGCAACUUUUCAGACAAGACUGGUCUUCAGCUAUUUAAACCACAUACAUGAUCUCUUCAUUAUAAACAUCAUACUCUUUAUCUUUUGUACAAAUUUAAAACACAGAGAUGCAAAAUAAAGUAAAAGCUAC